rnacentral:lncRNA from 1 species
GCAAUCUUUGAAGGGAAAUACCUCAUCAUUGUUUUGACUACUGUAACUCAAAUAAUCAGCAUAAUAUGUGGAAAUAAUGAUACUAUCCCAGACAGCAAAAGAAAUGAGCAGGAAUUAUUCCUGUUUCUAAAUUCACAAAUGUAAUUUGUGGAGGGUGGUAGAGAGACAAGUCUGGAAAGAUAACAGCAGAACAGCUUAAGGAACUGCUAGUUCCCUAAAUCACUUAAGAGAUCUUUGUAAAAUUUUCUUUGGCAGGGACAGAGUCCCAAGUUUUGAAGUGUUUCUGCAUUUGGAAAUGAUCAAUUAUGUUGUUUUUGAGAAACAUUUGGAAAACUUUGGCUUUUCGUGUCCUAAUUAUGAACAAAAGGUUAUAUUAGGUAUGGGAAUUAAUUUAUGUGACAAGAUUUGCACGACAGAAAAAUAGUCAACAUCCUUGACUGGUAUUGGACUGACAUUCAAAUUCAAGAGAAGAAUUUUCUAAUCUAUUUCUUAGAAAUGGGGCUACUACAGUUCAGCUGAGCUUUUAUUCUUGUAGCGUUUGGGACUUCCAAGCAUUCAACUCAUGGACUUGCAGAUGCAACACAUCUUGGGAAUGCAAGGAAGUUGAUGCCUCUCCUCCUAUACUGGCAGUUCCAAGGAUGUUAAAUACUAUUGACAUGUUAUCAAGAGCAAGUUUCAAAAAGCUCCUUGUACUAAGUAGCAUUAAUAUGCAUGUACAGUUACAUUCACCUGGGACAGCUGCUGAACACUACAUCACUUCAAGUUGUACAAAAUUAAAUUUGGCAAGACUGUAG